UACAGAGGGUGUAAGCGUUAAUCGGAUUUACUGGGCGUAAAGCGUGCGUAGGCGGUUCAUUAAGUCGGUUGUGAAAUCCCUGGGCUUAACCUGGGAACUGCAGUCGAUACUGGUGGACUAGAGUACGGUAGAGGGUGGCGGAACUCCGGGUGUAGCGGUGAAAUGCGUAGAUAUCCGGAAGAACACCGAUGGCGAAGGCAACCACCUGGGCCUGUACUGACGCUGAGGUACGAAAGCGUGGGGAGCAAACAGG
rnacentral:rRNA from 1 species